UGUUACAUGUCCACUUUGUGAUAUGGUAUGCACAAGUGUCUCCUCACUGAAAGUACAUACCAGAUUCCGACACUGCGAUGAACGUCCUUUCCGUUGUCAUCUCUGUGAUAGCAGUUUUAAGAACACUUAUGAUCUGCAUAAACAUGUUGAAACACACAAUGAUUCAGAUGCCUACAGCUGUGAUGUUGAAGGAUGUGAUUUUACUUCACGGACUUGGCAAACUCUGAGACGGCAUUACAAGAGAGCACAUGUGAGUGAUGGUAUUCUGAAAUAUAAAUGCCACAUCUGUCAGAAAUGUUUUUCCUGGAGUUAUACAUUGACCCUACAUCUUCGAAAAGUGCAUAAACUCAGCUGUCAUUCUCGUUUCAGAUAUAAAGAAGAUGAUGAGGGAUAUGGGAGACUGAAUGUAGCAGUAUGUAAUGCUGUUGUGGGUCUAGGUCAGGCUCUUAAUAACAAGAUGAUAAUAAAGAAGUCUUUGGUAAGGCAAAACAGUUUUGCAAGAGAAAGAGGGGACUCUUGCAAAAAAGACACUUCAACUGUAGAAGUACCUUUCACACAACUUCAGCCAUGGUCUCAAGCUACUGGAGAAAAUAUUCUGGUAGAAACAGAGACUUCUAGAGAGGAACCUGUCUACUCUGAACUUCAGACUGCUGUACAGCUAUCUGAAAACUCUUCUACUUCCCCUAAAGGUGAUGAGGCAACACCACUGAAUGCAAAUGAAAAACUCAUAGAAAUUGAACUGGGCUUGGGAAUUCAGAUAGCUUUUUAGAAAACCAGCCUUUUUGUGGAUUUUACUAGAAAAAAGAGAAGAGGUAGAUAUUUUUUAAACAAAAUGUAUAAAAGGAGUUUGCGCUGUUGUCAAAAUACUGUAUAUAAUACUGUGUGGUUUUUUUGCUGCUUUCAUGUUCAGUUAUUUUAAUGUGCUUAGAGAAUAUAUGCAAGAUGCGCCUCAUAUUAUGCACAUAUAUUACCUGCAUUAAUAGCCCUUUGGAAGAGGAAGUUUUAGGUUUCAUAUAUUCAUAUUACAUAAAUAUGGAAGUGUAUAUUUAUUUAUUUAUUUAUUUAUAAAACAAAUAUAGCCCUCGGGGAAAAGCAUUGAGCCAAUACACUAGACAAAUAGUUUGGACUGGUAGGUAAUACAUUCCACUUUUUAUUAGCCCCCUAUGUUACUUACUAGAAAACAGAUAACAGCUUGUGAGAUAUUUAUGUAUAAAAUCUACAGAGCUUUUUGUCAGAUUUUUUAGCUUUGUUUAGUGACUUUAAACAUCUUUCAAUAGUUAUUAGAGAGACUUUAUUAUUAUAAUGGACUUUUAAGCUACAGUGUGUUGUUAAAUGAAUACCUUAAAAUAGAAAAGGUUACAUGUAAAUGAAAUAGUUAUAGAUAUUCAUAGAGCUCACUUUAAAAUUUAUAUACCAUUUAGUGUAACUGAAAUUUUACAGCCACUGUUGGGUGGUGCAGGUACAAUGACUUGAAAGAAAAUGAAAGAUAUUGGCAGCAUAAUUAAAUGAGCCUAACUGUAUUUUCAGAAAUAAUUCCACAUAGCCAUGGUUAUUCUGACCUGUUAGGUUCAGUGCUGGCAAAGACAUUUAUUUAUUUGAUUCUUGUAUAAAGGGUAUAGUCAAAAAGACAGGUAUCUUUCAUCACAGUAAAAAUGAAAAGGAAGUAUAACAUCCAAAACAUUUUUUAAACCAAGAAAUGUGAAUGAGCUCUCCAACUAAAAUAUGUAAGACUUGUACACGUGAGAAGGUAGUAUUCAGCCAAAUAGAAAAUUCAUUUACAAUAUAUUAGCUAUUACAAGCCAAUUUCCCUUGAGGACCCAAAAAUAUUCUCUGAGAAUGGCUUGCUGUGCCACUUUGAAAGCACUUUUCAGCGCAUACUCAGAGCAGCAUUGCAUCAUCAUCACGUACUGAAUGCUCAUUUCCUUACGCAGACAAGCUGAUAUUAGCAGCCCAGGAUAAGCAACCCAACCUACAAAUGGGUGAGUCCCCAACCAGCAAAGGAUGGAGUGAUACUCCAGACUGGGAACAGUAUGAACAAAAAUAGGUCAUCUGAAAUUGAAAUGAGCUUGUCAUUUAACUCUUAAGGCAGCCAAGGAUUCUGAGAAGCCUUUAUUUGGAAGGAUUUACACCAUACAUUUUCUUCAGCAAACUGUUUCCUCAUUCCAGCGUAGUCUGAACUGACCUCCCCAUCGCCUAACUGCCUAUAGCUGUUGCAUCCCAACUGUGAGGACAUGCUGGGCCUGUGUGCUGGGCUAGAGGCAAGGAGAAAGCAAUGGCUCAUUUUUUCUCCACCCAACAGCUGGAAGAGCACAGCACCCUGCUCGGGAGCCUUGGGGAAGGCCAGCAGCAGUAUAUGAGGUAGUGGCAUCAGUCAUCGGGUCCACUAUGAAGAGCUCUCCUUUAACUGUCCUGACCGCUUUCUCCCUCACUGAGGGAGCUGGGCACAGUUCCUGUUACAUUUGUUGUCCCAGAUAGCACGGGAAGGGAGAGCUGACUGAAGGGGCUAUGUCAUUUGCUAGAGUUGCAUGAUGAACUGGAGUGGGGCUUGCUGGAGGAAGCUCUUGGUGACUCUUCUGACAGCGUGCUCCUGUGUUCAGAGAACACUCUCACUCCCGCUUUGCCUCACGACCUAGACCAGGUUGUCUGCAACAUUUAGCAAUUUUAGCAGGAGAAGGAAUAAAGCCCAUCACAAUUAUAGGCAGAUUAAAACUGAAAGGCAGUAAAAAUUUCUUUCCUUAGCUGUCCACCUUGUUCCUGUCUUGAAGGCCCCUGACUUGAAAGUUCCUGCUUUGCAGGCAGCUGGGAUCUUUGUGCUCAAGUUUUAGUCUUAUUAAACAUGCAAGCUCUAAUUUGUGGCAAUUCAGCUGAUGUUUCAAGAGCAGUUGAGCCACCUGCACAGUGGGGGCAGGCCAGACAGUUGUGGGUGGCAGCCUGAUUUUAAUCUGCCUUUGUUCAUGAAUCCAAGCCCCAACCUUUUUAAUACUUUACAAUACAGGUAAAACUGACUCACGUUUCUCUGGGCCAUGAUUAGGUACCACUAUAGCCUCUGGGAUUUCCCCUGCUAAAUAUCAAAGGCCUGCUACAAACAACAGAGGUGUUAAUACUUCCCAAAGAAAGAGUCCUUUGUAAUGGAAAGCAUUAGUCAACCAAAAUACACAGGAAUCUUUUCCAGAUCUUCUGUAAUAGUUUACCAGAAGCCUCUAAUCCAUUAUCCAGCAAUUCAGUCUGUUGGGCAGAUCCCCAUGCCUGCCUGAUUGGGGUUUGCUGCCUUCAGUGCAAGCUGCGUUGCAGGUACUGAGGUUAAUUUACAGAAAGCCUAUUCUGGAUCAGGGCCUCACAUGGCAGAUUAAGACAUAGUAUUACAUAUUUAUAUUUGAGCUGUGGAACUGUACUUGCAGUGUAAGGAUAUGACCUACAAGUUCCAAUGUGUAUUGCCACAACUUCUUGUGAGCCUGUUCAAUACAUUUUGGAAGACAAAAUCGACUGCAGUGGCAGACACAAUGGAAUGAUUAUUUAUUAAAGGAAACUGAUUUAUUAAAAAUCAUAUUUUAAAAUAAAUUCCCUCAGUUAUGCUGUUUAAUGACACUCUAGAGCUUUAUUCUACUAUUGCUUGGUACCUGCUUAACUUUAUUAUUAUUAUUCACAGUGUUUGCAUUCACACAAGGGCCCUAGAAAGCUUUCAGCUAACUUCUUAAAUUAAACUAACUUUUUGAUCAGAUACCUAGUUUAGAAUUUUUGUUUAUAUACUAGUUUGUAUACGGAGGGUUUGUUGACAUCAUUGUAUGCAUUACAGUAGUAGUUAGAGAC